rnacentral:rRNA from 1 species
AGAGUUUGAUCAUGGCUCAGAACGUACGCUGGCGGCACGCCUAACACAUGCAAGUCGAACGAAGUAGCAAUACUUAGUGGCAGACGGGUGAGUAACAUGUAGGUAUCUGCCCUUUGGCCUGGAAUAACACGAGGAAACUUGUGCUAAUACCGGAUAAGUCUUUACGGAGAAAGCUUUAUGCACCAUUGGAUGAGCCUGCACUUGAUUAGUUUGUUGGUAGGGUAAUGGCCUACCAAGACUGUGAUCAAUAGCUGAUUUGAGAGGAUGAUCAGCCACAUUGGGACUGAGACACGGCCCAAACUCCUACGGGAGGCAGCAGUGGGGAAUCUUGCACAAUGGAGGAAACUCUGAUGCAGCGAUGCCGCGUGAGUUAAGAAGGCCUUUGGGUUGUAAAGCUCUUUCGUCGGGGAAGAAAAUGACUGUACCCGAAUAAGAAGGUCCGGCUAACUUCGUGCCAGCAGCCGCGGUAAUACGAAGGGACCUAGCGUAGUUCGGAAUUACUGGGCUUAAAGAGUUCGUAGGUGGUUGAAAAAGUUGGUGGUGAAAUCCCAGAGCUUAACUCUGGAACUGCCAUCAAAACUUUUCAGCUAGAGUUUGAUAGAGGAAAGCAGAAUUUCUAGUGUAGAGGUGAAAUUCGUAGAUAUUAUGUAGAACACCAGUUGCGAAGGCGGCUUUCUGGAUCAAUACUGACGCUGAGGCGCGAAAGUAUGGGUAGCAAAGAGGAUUAGAUACCCUCGUAGUCCAUACCAUAAACGAUGAUUGCUAGAUGUUGGAAAUUUAUUUUCAGUAUCGCAGCUAACGCAUUAAGCAAUCCGCCUGGGGAGUACGACCGCAAGGUUAAAACUCAAAGGAAUUGACGGGGGCCCGCACAAGCGGUGGAGCAUGUGGCUUAAUUCGAUGCAACGCGAAGAACCUUACCUAGGUUUGACAUGGACGUGGUACCCGGGGCGAAAGCUUUGGGGACCCGCAAGGGAGCGUUCACAGGUGCUGCAUGGCUGUCGUCAGCUCGUGUCGUGAGAUGUUCGGUUAAGUCCGGCAACGAGCGCAACCCUCGCCUCCAGUUACCAGCGAGUAAAGUCGGGGACUCUGGAGGGACUAACCCGUUAGGGUGGGAAGGUGGGGAUGACGUCAAGUCAGUAUGGCCCUUACAUCUAGGGCUGCACACGUGCUACAAUGCCUGGUACAAAAGGAACCAAGACCGCGAGGUGGAGGAAAUCCCUAAAGCCAGGCCCAGUUCAGAUUGGAGUCUGCAACUCGACUCCAUGAAGCCGGAAUCGCUAGUAAUCGUAGAUCAGCGUGCUACGGUGAAUACGUUCCCGGGUCUUGUACACACCGCCCGUCACACCAUGGAAGUUGGUUCUACCUUAAAGCAGAUUGCUAACCGCAAGGAGGCGUUUGACCAAGGUAUAGUCAGCGACUGGGGUGAAGUCGUAACAAGGUAGCCGUA